UACAGAGGUCCCAAGCGUUGUUCGGAUUCACUGGGCGUAAAGGGUGCGUAGGUGGUGAGGUAAGUCGGAUGUGAAAGCUCGGAGCUCAACUCCGAAAUGGCAUUGGAAACUACCUUGCUAGAGGAUUGGAGGGGAGACUGGAAUGCUUGGUGUAGCAGUGAAAUGCGUAGAUAUCAAGCGGAACACCAGUGGCGAAGGCGAGUCUCUGGACAAUUCCUGACACUGAGGCACGAAAGCCAGGGGAGCAAACGGG
rnacentral:rRNA from 1 species